rnacentral:rRNA from 1 species
UACGAAGGGGGCUAGCGUUGUUCGGAAUUACUGGGCGUAAAGCGCGUGUAGGCGGUUGCCAAAGUCGGGUGUGAAAGCCUUGAGCUCAACUCAAGAAAUGCACUCGAUACUUGGUGACUAGAGGACCGGAGAGGAUAGUGGAAUUCCCAGUGUAGUGGUGAAAUACGUAGAGAUUGGGAAGAACACCAGUGGCGAAGGCGGCUAUCUGGACGGUUUCUGACGCUAAGACGCGAAAGCGUGGGGAGCAAACAGG